rnacentral:rRNA from 1 species
UACGUAGGGGGCUAGCGUUGUCCGGAAUCAUUGGGCGUAAAGAGCGCGUAGGCGGCCAGAUAAGUCCGGUGUGAAAGUCAAAGGCUCAACCUUUGAAUGCCGCUGGAAACUGUCUGGCUAGAGUCCGGGAGGGGCGAGUGGAAUUCCUGGUGUAGCGGUGAAAUGCGCAGAUAUCAGGAGGAACACCAAUGGCGAAGGCAGCUCGCUGGAACGGUACUGACGCUGAGGCGCGAAAGCGUGGGAGCAAACAGG